rnacentral:tRNA from 1 species
GAGGUUAUAGCUCAGUGGUAGAAUAUGUGCUUAGCAUGUACAGGGUCCUAGGUUCAAUCCCUAGUACCUCU